UUGCUUCAGUGGCACAUAUAGUAAAAUUAGAGCAAUGCAGACAAUAUGAGCUUGCUCCCUGAACAAAGAUGGCAUGCUAAUUUGUGAAGCAUUCCAUAUUUUU
ensembl:snRNA U6 U6 spliceosomal RNA